rnacentral:tRNA from 1 species
GCGUUGUUAGCUCAGCCGGACAGAGCAAUUGCCUUCUAAGCAAUCGGUC